GGAUUAUAGCUCAGCGGUAGAGCGCUAGCCUAGCUGGUGCGAAGCCCUGGGUUCGAUCCUCAGCACCA
rnacentral:tRNA from 1 species